AGAAGGGACGCUGGAACGUGCCGCUUGGUUGCCGUGGUAACCCUUGAUUAUUGUCACCUGCUGAAGAUUCCACAGAACCAACUUGUUACCAAAGUACGGAGGCGCUAUGGGGCUCAUACUGACCAGGGCGGCCCAGUGGACCAGCUCCAACAAACUGGAGUCCACUCCACUGAACGAGUUUUUAGUGACGCAAAUCCUGAACUAUGCGGAGAAAUUUGUUUCCAGGCACCCGCAGGAGGCAGAGCAUGUGUUUGAUGAGCCGCUUCAGUGGAACACCUCUUUAGUGAAAUAUGAUUUCAAAGACGACUAUAUCAUCAGUGCCAUAGGUGUAAAGUCCCUUGAAAAAGACAGUGAGGGGAAGCCACUGUUGCAGUUUUUUCCACCUUCUAUUUCUGUUCGUACCUUCAGCCAGCUCUCUAAACUGCUGCAUCUGGCAGAUGACAGGAAGCGUCAUGAGGUCCAAGUGUGUCUAGAAGAAAAUAGAGACCUCAUGGUUAAGAUUGUUGGUCAGAGUCUCGCCAACACAUCAGAGGAAGACAUCUCAACUCUGGAGAUAGAUGUCAGAGUCAAGCUGUUCAUCCUGCUCAGAAACACUGAUGAAAAGAUCCUCAACAAGUUUGUUGGAGAAAUAACAAAACAAGUCAAGCUUUUACCCACCGCAGUGGAGGAGGAAGUGGAGUUCUUGAGACAGUACUGCACUGAAGGGGGGAAGAGGCUGCUGAAGUCACUGAGAUACACAUCAGACUAUGAAUUUCCAAACGGCUGUCGCGCUCCACCUUGGAGACAGCUGCUCGGUGAGAUUUGUUACGUUGUUAUUGAGCCAUGUGACGCUGAGGCGCUGUACAUCACCUGCAGCUCUUCUGGAGUCUUUCUUAAUGCGGGGCUGGACAAAGAAGAAGACGAGAGUCUCUAUGAGAGACAAAGUGAUUAUUAUGAAGACAUAGCGACUCUUCUAAAGAGGGUAUCUCCACAUUUUGAAGAGAACGUGAAAAAACAGUAUUUUGUAGAACAGAAACCUCGUAGGAGUAUUCAUCUUGCACACGUGGUUUAUGAAAUAGAACAAGCCCAACCUAAGACGCCUGAAGAACGAGAGUGGGAGAAACUACAGCGAGCUCUAUACGGCAGGAAGAAACGUGAGCCAUGUCAGAGAUGGAGGAAUCUUGGUGUGCUGAAUAUAUGUGGUGCAACAGAGGAAGAGGAGCUCUUGAUGAGCCCUGCAGAGAGGAAACGACUGGGAUCCAAAAACAAAACCAUGAUGAAGAGUGGACUCACAGCAGCAUCUUCAAUUGGACUCACAGCUUCCCAGAGAAGGAAAAGCAUAGUAGCAUCCUUCCCAGAAGAGCAUUUCAGCGGGAGCUCCAGUGAAAGUGAGGAGGAAGAGGAGCAGACAGAGAGACGUCCUGACACCAGCACUGAACUGCAGUCUGAAUACUGGCAGGUCCAGAAACUCGUGAAGUACCUCAAGGCAGCAGACCAGACAGCCACUGUGCUUGUUCUCUGCGCCAUGAUGGAUCUUGAUCUAAUGAAGGAGGUCAUCCAACUGGCCAUUCUGGACUUAGGUGGGCUGGAGCUCCUCCUUAACUUGCUGGAUACUACAGACAUCAGAAGCAAAAUUGGAUCUUUAAAAAUCCUGGCAAAGAUCAGCCAGAACGUUAUCAUCCGACAGACCAUUGUAAACAUGAGAGGCCUGCAGAGGAUGGUGAACAACCUGGACAUACCGGUGAAGGAACUGCAGGCCUUGGCCUCUGAGACUAUUGCACAUGUGGCAAAGUUCAGAAGAGCAAGAAGAAUAGUGAGGGUACAUGGAGGAAUCAGUAAACUGGUGAAGCUGCUGGAAUGCUUCCCUUACUCGGCAACACCGGAAGAAGACAUGGAGAUGAAUUUGGAGGUGGCUCGCUGUGGAGCCUCGGCUCUGUGGAGCCUCAGCAAAAGUAGCAAGAACAAGGAGGCCAUCCGUAAAGCUGGGGGGAUCCCUCUGCUGGGAUUCCUGCUCAGGUCUCCAUAUGAGGACAUGGUGAUCCCUGUUGUGGGAACCCUGCAGGAAUGUGCCUCACAGAAAAACUACAGGGUUGCUAUUGAAAAUGAAGGGAUGGUGAAGGACUUGGUGAAAAACCUGAGAAGUGACAAUGAGGAGCUCCAGAUGCUUUGUGCCAGUGCAAUAUUUAAGUGUACAGAGGACAAACUGACCCGGGAUCUGGUCCGCAGCCACCAAGGCCUGCAGCCUCUGGUGUCACUGCUCUCUAAAGCAGAAAACAAGCAGCUACUGGCUGCUGCUACCGGGGCCAUUUGGAAGUGUUCAAUCAGCAUGGAGAACGUAGCUAUCUUCCAGGAGUACAAAGCUCUGCAGAUCCUGAUUGGUCUGCUGACUGAGCAGCCUGAAGAGGUCCUGGUCAAUGUAGUGGGAGCUCUGGGACAGUUUGCUCGGAUACCAGCUAACAAGUCCAUCAUCUGCAACGGUGGGGGCAUCAGGGCUCUCAUUAAUCUGCUCAAUGGAACAAACCAGGCUCUACUUGUAAAUGUAGCAAAGGCUGUGGGAGCUUGUGCCACAGAAAGGGACAACGUGGUAAUCAUUGACCAGCUUGAUGGAGUCCGCCUGGUGUGGUCACUGCUAAAGAACCCCAAUGCAGAAGUUCAGGCUAGUGCUGCAUGGGCCAUUUGUCCGUGCAUCGAGAAUGCAAAGGACACUGGGGAAAUGGUUCUCUUCCUGAUUUGUGGACUCAAGCUGAUCAUUCAAUUACUGAAGUCACCAAGCAACGAGGUUCUGACGAGCAUUUGUGCCGUCAUCGCCAAACUAGCCAAAGACAAGGAGAUCCUGGGCGUCCUCUCUGAUCGCGGGGUUGUCCCGCUGCUGGCCGGGCUGACUAGCACAACCGAUGUCAGACUCCGCUGCCACCUGGCUGAGGCCAUCGGCCACUGCUGCACGUGGAGCUCCAACAGGGCAUGCUUUGGUGAACAUAAAGCCGUUGGCCCUGUGGUUCAUUACCUGGAGUCGAACGACAGUUCACUCCUCCUUAACACAACCAUGGCCCUGUACCAACUGUCCAAAGACCCCAACAACAUCAUCACCAUGCAUAAGGAAGGAGUCGUCCAGGUGCAGAUGUGUGCACACUCUCUGCUACUCUGCAGCAGGUCUCAGCAGCUGAAAGCAUUCCGGUCAAAUCAGCAGCAGUAUAAGGAAUGCACCAGUCACUCUGCUGGUUUUACAACAGAGCUGAAGAAGACAUGAAGCGGUCACUAAAGAAGCGUUUCAGAGGCAAACUGAUCAAACUCAUGGGAAAAAGGACUUGGAUUUAAAAAGGAGUACCGGACUCAUCUGUGUCCCAACACACUUCUGUUGCUUUCAGUCGCAGCAGCUACAGAAAAUCCCAGUGAAUUAGAGAACAACAGAAAAGCUGCUCAGCUUGCAGACAUUAUAUUUCUUGGGAUAUGUGAGUGGUUAUCAUUGCUGCUGAUCUGGGCUCGUCUUCUGGUUCUGUUUAUUAGAAACAGUCUGGGUCGGGCUCCACAGGCCCUCCAUAGCAAACUGUUGGCUUCAAUCAUGGAUCCUCCUCUGAUCCUCCUCUGCUGCCCUGGACCCACUAAGCUCCGACAUGCUGGGCUCUCCACCUCAGUCGCUGUAACAAAGUCUAAAGGGAUUUUCAUCAAUAUGUGCUGCAUGCAAGAACAGAAAAUUAAUAAAACAUAGAAAAUAUGUGGCUGGAGAUCUUCAUCGCUCUUUGUAGUCUAAGCACCAGCAGCUGCUUGCAGGGGUCACUGGAAGAGCAAGAUGAGGGAAGAGUGGCUGAGAUCGCUGGUUUCAUGUGAAGAUGGAACUUCCUCUACAAAACAACACAAACUGGUGAAGACAGAAACUCGGAGGGAAAAUCACAGAACCAACAGAACAACAAGAUGGAUGCUUACUGCUACUUGAAGUGCUGUCAGGAAAAAGUCCUAAAGAUUUUUCAACUCUGAACAAAGUGACUCCACCAUGUGGAGCUAAAAUGUGGAGUUUACCUGGAAACAAAGCAGUUAGCUUGACGUUCAGGGUACAUCAGCUCUGGAGAAGCUGGUUCUGUUAUGAUGUUCUGGGUUCUGAUCCAUCAGACUCUCCUAUGACUGCUAAACACCCCGAGGUAGAAACGGCAACAUAUGACAUCACACCGUCUUACUUAAUGUGGUCCAAUAGCUCAGCUUCUGUUUGCCAUCAGGAUGAAUUAUGGACAAAACAACCAAUCAGAUGAAAUACGGCAGAAAGAAAUGAUGGAAUCACUCAGUGAUGAAAGACUGAUGAUCCCCACGAGACAUCUGUCAGCUCAAAGGAUUUGCACCAAGAACAUGUUGGUUGUUUCCAGUCAGCUGGGUCUAGAGUUUGGAGGAAGUAGCAGCAGAAAGAGGAGAUUGUAAAACUGAAAACACACAGAGACUAAAGAAAACGUCUGAAGAUCAGGACACCAUGAUUUGGAAGUUGGAAAUGUACAACAAAAGAAAUAAAAACCAAAUGGAAGAAACAAGAAACAGUUUGUAACUGAACUGUAAUAAAUCAGCUGAAGGAAAGUCAGACAUAAACCAUCAUUCAGAUGCUGUAGUGUGAUAUGAAAUACUCAAACUCUUGAAUGUGGUUGAAAUAACAUCACCCCCAAAAUGCUUGUAUGUCAGACAAUGAUUCCACAAAAACAUUGCUGUCCUCGCAAUGAUUAAGACGUCAUUUCUGCACAGAGUCAGCCAAAAUUCUUCUCUGCUGAUUAUAAAGACUCUUUGUCUGUUAUCACAAACUCUUGAUACCAAUUGUUGCUGCAAAUGGUGGGAAAACUAGUUAGAAAGUUAAGAGGGCAAUUGUUUGUCCCAUAUGUCCAGGGUGGUUUGGACAGCUUUCCCAUUAGUGAAUGAAAUCAUUAACUGAAAACUGUGUUUUUGUAUUUAAUCAGGCCAUCUUUAUCCUUUACUAAGAUUAGUUUGAUCUAAAUUAUUUAAGCAAAAACACAUCUGAGAUGGGGCACAAAGUACUUUUUCACAGCUCUUCGAUAAAACAUGGAGAAAGUGCCUACUUUAAACCACAAGGCCCAUCAAAUAAAUAAAGAAAUAGAAUAAUUAGCUUUAGAAACUAGUUUAUAAUAAAACAGUAACUCAGCAUAUAGUUCACAGAAUAGUAUUUAUGAGGCAUAUCUGUCCUGCAUGUGCCUGAAGCUGAAACGUGUGCAGCUUUGAGGUCAGGCUGGAAGGAAGCAGCAGAACUUUUCAAGGAACUCAGUCCUCAGGCUUUUUUGUCAUGAAGCCACAGUUCAGAGUAUUAGUUGUGCCACAAGCCUUCUGAGAAGAAACGUUGUCCGUGCUCUCUGGGACAUUACUCAGUGAAAUUAAAGGUUCGGUCUCUGUUCUCUGACAGGUGCAGCAAUUAUGUCCAGCUCUGACUUUCCAUAUCACCAUCCAGGACCCAGCACUUUUUAAAUAAUUGUCAAGUGGAGGGAAAAGGAGAGGGAUAACCCUGAUGACAGUUCUUCUGUUUUGAGGGACCAUGGAAAGUGUCUCACCACUGGCCUAACCUUCACCCCGUCUCCAGACUUCAGUCCAUGGUUCACAUGGCUACUGUGAGGAGAGUUUCCAGAUGGUCCAGACCUUUUUGUUUUUUACUACCACACAGUCCUCCUUUUUCUGUUUUUCUUUUUUUUUUGGUGGGAUAAGUUGUAUUAAAAUGGAACUGCUUGUUUAAAGUUGCUCAGAAAUCCCACAUAAGCCCAGGGCUCUGCUGCAACAUUCACUAAACAAACUAAUAAACAGUAAAAGUUCUAAA